rnacentral:misc_RNA from 1 species
GGUGUAUUCUACCUCAGAAAAGUGCCACAUGUAGUUUGGAGUAAUCUUUGAAGUGCAAUAUUACAAACAUUUAGAAUGCCAAGUUUAAGCAUAUCCUGUUAUAAAUCAAAAUUAUUUAUUUUUACAGUUUUACAUUGAAUAUUGUUUUAUUAAUAGUAAGCAAAUUACUUACAGAAAGUUAAAUGUAAAGCUGUUUUAAUUGAAAUUUUAUGUUUUAAUGAUGUGUUAUUUUAAUGCUCCCUUAUUUAUUUAAAUCUUAAUGACAUUGUACAGUGAGAGACAAAGAAAAGUCUUAAAUGCUGGGUCAUAGACAUCUUAUUUUGUUUAUUUACACAAAAUGUCUCUAGCAUAACACAGUAAAUGAGUAUUCUGUAACAUAUAUAGAAAAGUUUAUCUAGUAUAAAAAAAAUUUCCGUUGGAAAAAAAAAUAUUCAGAAAUCCAUUGUUGUAUAGGUAGCUAUAAUAAUUAUUAUUUUGUAUUUAGUGUUUUAAAUGUUGUGUGUGUGUGGAGUAAAUCUGUAUUGUGUGUGAAUUCUAUGAAAGGUUUUGUGUAUGAAUAGAAGUUAAACUCAUUUAGAGACUGUAUUAAAAUUGGUGCAAAUAAAUUAUUUUUUAUACAAAUC